GCCAGACUCCUACGGGAGGCAGCAGUAGGGAAUCUUUCACAAUGGGCGAAAGCCUGAUGGAGCAACGCCGCGUGAAGGAAGAAGGCUUUCGGGUUGUAAACUUCUUUUCUCAGGGACGAAGCAAGUGACGGUACCUCAUGAAUAAGCCACGGCUAACUACGUGCCAGCAGCCGCGGUAAUACGUAGGUGGCAAGCGUUAUCCGGAUUUACUGGGUGUAAAGGGCGUGUAGGCGGGACUGCAAGUCAGAUGUGAAAAUUAUGGGCUCAACCCAUAACCUGCAUUUGAAACUGUAGUUCUUGAGUGAUGGAGAGGCAGGCGGAAUUCCGUGUGUAGCGGUGAAAUGCGUAGAUAUACGGAGGAACACCAGUGGCGAAGGCGGAUUGCUGGACAGUAACUGACGCUGAGGCGCGAAAGCGUGGGGAGCAAACAGGAUUAGAUACCCGCGUACUA
rnacentral:rRNA from 1 species